rnacentral:tRNA from 1 species
GUGACUAUAGUUUAGCGGUAGAACAGCGGGUUGUGGUCCCGCUAGUCUGGGUUCGACUCCCAGUAGUCACC